GAUGAACGCUGGCGGCGUGCCUAAUACAUGCAAGUCGAGCGAACAGACGAGGAGCUUGCUCCUCUGACGUUAGCGGCGGACGGGUGAGUAACACGUGGAUAACCUACCUAUAAGACUGGGAUAACUUCGGGAAACCGGAGCUAACACCGGAUAAUAUAUUGAACCGUAUGGUUCAAUAGUGAAAGACGGUUUUGCUGUCACUUAUAGACGGUUCCGCGCCGCAUUAGCUAGUUGGUAAGGUAACGGCUUACCAAGGCAACGAUGCGUAGCCGACCUGAGAGGGUGAUCGGCCACACGGGAACUGAGACACGGUCCAGACUCCUACGAGAGGCAGCAGUAGGGAAUCUUCCGCAAUGGGCGAAAGCCUGACGGAGCAACGCCGCGUGAGUGAUGAAGGUCUUCGGAUCGUAAAACUCUGUUAUUAGGGAAGAACAAAUGUGUAAGUAACUAUGCACGUCUUGACGGUACCUAAUCAGAAAGCCACGGCUAACUACGUG
rnacentral:rRNA from 1 species